rnacentral:rRNA from 1 species
UACAGAGGCCCCAAGCAUUAUCCGGAAUCACUGGGCGUAAAGGGUGUCCAGGCGGCCCUGUUAGUCUCUUGUAAAAUCCGUGGGCUCAACCUACGGUCCGCAAGGGAAACGGCAGGGCUCGAGGGCGCGAGAGAUAGAGGGAACUCAUGGUGGAGGGGUGAAAUCCGUUGAUAUCAUGGGGAACACCAAAGGCGAAGGCACUCUAUUGGCGCGUUCCUGACGCUCACACACGAAAGCCAGGGUAGCGAACGGG